AUGUCUUUGCUAACUGAUGACCUGGUUGUGGAGAUUUUGUCUCGGCUACCGCUGAAGUCCUUUUGCCGCUUCAAAUGCGUCUGCAAGUACUGGCUUACCUUGUCAUCUAAUCCACACUACCGCAAGAAGUUCCCAAGAACUCCCGUUGGUAUCUUGUACCAAAUACCUCAGUAUGGCACUGGCAUCCAUCUCGCUAGGCUUCCCUCAUGCGACAAAGAAAUUGACACAACACUUAGCUUUGUGCCAUGUUAUGAGUACCUAGAGCUUAAGGGUUGCAGCAAUGGCCUACUUCUUUGUUAUCAUGGUGGUAUCACAACAUAUUUCGCAGACAUAUCCCAUGUUAUUGUGUGCAAUCCAGCAACUCAAGAGUGGAUGUCACUUCCAAAUACUGAACCUGGACCGGCAGACUGUGAUUAUGAUCUCAUGCUGUGUUUUGAUCCAUCAUGGUCUCAACACUUUUAUGUCUUCAGCUUCCAGUCUGGGUCUUCCAUGGAUGGUGAAGUCUAUAAUGAAGUUAAGAUAUUUUUCUCCGAGGAUUUCACAUGGUCUAGUUGUCGCUGGAAAAGUGAGAUAGGAUUUUAUGGUAGUUCAUGCUUUGUGAAUGGGGUACUCUAUGUGGGGCAUAUAUGGGAGCAUGUCCUUCUGGCAAUCGAUGCACCCGGUCCAUCUACGCAGUGGCUCAGUCAGAGGAUCAUUCAGCUGCCAGGAUUUCCAAAUGGGCCAGAGAUAUUUGAUUGUUGUGAUGGUUGUAUGUGCCAGUCAUCAGGGGUCUCAUGCUAUGCACAACAGGAAUUGCAUGGUUGUAUGAUGCGGAUUUGGAGUUUGGAAGGCACUGACAGGUGGGUGGUGAAGCAUCGUCUAAGUAUGAACAAUGUCUUUGGGAGGGAUUUGUUGCUCCGGACUAAUCAUGAAGGACUAUGGUACUUCGAUUACGACAUCCAGGCCUUUGACUUGGAGAGAGAGCUAGUUAUCCUUGUUGACAGAAUUGCUCAUAGGAUCAUCUCAUUUAGCAUGAGUACUGGAAAAGGCUCAGAGAUUCUGAAGAUUCGGAUGUUCUCUGAACUGUAUCGGCGUGCAUUCUACGUGCCAUACUACUGCAAGUUUCCCGCUUUGGUG
rnacentral:rRNA from 1 species